AUUACCGAGUCGUCUAUCUGUCUACUUGGUAUAACUUUAGUUUAUCAAAAUAAUUACGCUAUUAUCUACUGACAAAGGGUUGUAUCUUUCCCGUUUUACAUAAUUUCAAGAAUUUAAAUUAUUCAAACCAUCAUUACCUCAUUAUCUUAUUAUUUAUAAUUGCGGAUGAGAAACCGAGCAUGAGUAAAAUUUAUAGGGGACAUUGCUGUCAACCAAGGGGUUGAUAAAUAUAGUCAGUAGAACUUAAACCACCCGAUAAGCAACAUUGGAAAACAUACUGAGCCUUUAGCAGCAUUUUGACAUUAUAUUAAAUAUUUUCUCAGUCAAAAUAUUACAGAACAAUAUCUAACGUCUUCAGUUAAUCGAUAGACUUCAAAAUUUCAAAAGUAUUCGAAGUCACAAGAGAACGAUAAAUUUACUAAUAUUUUUUUCAGAUGAUAGCAGUAUAUCUAUUUUCAUUAAUAUGCAAAAAUAUAUUAUUGAAGGACGUUGUAAGCUGAGUAGGAAAGUUUGAUCAGCUAGAAUAAAAACAGAAGUUGUAAUUUAAAAGAGUUCCGAACAAUACCUAUAGUGUCAUCAGUAAAUCGACAGAGUCCUGAAUAUUCCGAAGUCAAUUUAUCACACUAGUCAACUAGAAGCUGCCCACAAAUGAGGACUAGAGGACACUUGGUUACAUAUUCCCAAUCUUUUUGAGGGAUGAAAAUAUGACCUUCGUAGAGAAAAUCAGGAAGUCCUUUUGCAAGAGAAGUUUAAGUGCUUAUACACUUACUGUGGUCAUUGUAUAUAAAAAUUCUGAUGUAACAUAUAAGUUACUUACGCCGGCGUUUAAAUAUAUC